UCCGUAGGCGGACUGAUAAGUCAGGGGUGAAAUCCAACAGCUUAACUGUUGAACUGCCCUUGAUACUGUUAGUCUUGAAUUAUAUGGAAGUAGAUAGAAUGUGUAGUGUAGCGGUGAAAUGCUUAGAGAUUACACAGAAUACCGAUUGCGAAGGCAGUCUACUACGUAUAUAUUGACGCUAAUGGACGAAAGCGUGGGGAGCGAACAGGAUUAGAUACCCUGGUAGUCC
rnacentral:rRNA from 1 species